GUGCUCACUUCAGCAGCACAUAUGCUGAAAUUGGAAUGGUACAGAGAAGAUUGGCAUGGCCCCUGCACAAGGAUGACAGACAAACUUGUGAAGUGUCCUGUGUUAUU